GCGGGUGUAGUUCAGUGGUAGAACACUAGCCUUCCAAGCUGGUUGCGUGGGUUCGAUUCCCAUCACCCGCUCCA
rnacentral:tRNA from 1 species